UUGUGACAAACUUAUCAUAAUAACAUUGUAAAUUCGUUCAGAGACAAGUUAUUAGAUCGAAAUCAAUUAAAUUGAUAUCAAAUCGUAAAAUGCUCACAACUUGCUUUUAAGAUUAGUGCUUAAAAACUUAUAUCAGGUGCUAUUUAAUGGAUAUUAGUUCGGGAAAGAGCUUCACUAAAUAAAUUAUUGAUAUUCUCUCUCAAUAAUACUUUCAAAUGAAUAAUGCAAAAUGCUUAAUUUUUGCUAUGUACAUACAUACAUACAUAUGUAACUAUGUACCAUAAGUUUGUAUGUAUUUAUGUAUGUAUGUGUUUCAACAGUAUGGAGUAGGACCAGAGCUAGGGCUAGGGCAUGAGCGGGGGCUAGAGCAAAUUUAUUAUUUAUCCUUUUGUUAGCAACUGUGUAUGUAUGUAUGGGCAAGUUGCGGUGUACAUGUGUGGACAGCUCAUUGUUAUGCCAAACAAUGCUUCGGAAAGCUGAUUUUUCAUUUUGACACAACUUGCGAAUGUGAACUAAUAGAUACAUAAAAUUGCUGUUUCUUUUUGCAUUGCAUAAUGUGUACAUACAAAUAUGGAGAUUAAUAUGUAUGUCGUUUUGUGAGAAUUGAAUUUGGAAAGUAGUAUGUACAUACAUAUGUAUGUAUGUAUGAUUGUAUGUAUGUAGUGGUAGCUAGAAAUUCAUCAUCUGGAAGAAAAAUAUGUUCUCUCAAAUUCAUGAUAUGAGCAGCUAACAGUACUCGACUCCUUGCCCGACUGUCAUUAGAGAGGGUGUAUGUGUUUCACACCCUAUGCUGGAAAACGUGAGAGAGAAAAAAAACAGUAAACUAAGGACGACCUACACGGCACAUUCUAAGCAAUAGGUGGAGCACAAUAUUGGAGCACAGACUGAUACUACUCUCUGUGAUACAGUGGUCCUGAAUUGAAAGCUACAGAAACUUUGUCUCAAUAUUAAAAACACAAUGAACAAAUUAUCAUUGGAACGCUUUUCUUCAGGAUUAUCAAAUAUCAAAAUUUACAUGCAAGAACCGAGACAAGAUUGAGUUUUUGAAGAUGCGAGCAGCCUGUAAACUUCACAGUGUGGAUCUAUAGCCUACAGGACACGAAUGCAUUUAGUAGCCUCCGAGCCUACAUUGCCGUAUAAUUCGCUGUAUCACAAUCAUUCCGCAUUUGCGGAUCUAAAUUGCCACAAGAUGAGGAAUAACUGCCGCCCAUAAAUAUAAGCGUACACGCGUAAACACUUUCACAUAAAUACAUCCAUAUCUAUCUAAGUACAUAUGUACAUGUAUGUAUGCGUUAUAUUUUUUUAGCUCGACGCAAUUCAAUAUUUUCUCAAUCCAUUCAUAAAUCACCAUUAAAACGGCAAUUUUUGUCACUUGCUGAAUCAAGAAAGCUAUAAACGUCGCAAAUAAGAUGAAACGAAACAAAGCUAAAUAAAUUCGAUUGCCCUGUAAAGCCCAUUAAAUCAAAUUAGCUUAAAAAGUAAGCGUUGUUUGAGAUUUAUUUCCAGGGCCACAUUAUUCCUCCUGUUAGGCGUAAGUCCAUUAUAACUGCUCAUAACUCACAACGGUAAUCCUUUGAAAGGACAUCGAAGUUGUGAUACUUCUCCCACAAAUGACCAUAAAAAUGCAAUUAGAGGUAAAUCAUUGCCUACAUAUUUCGUUUACGAAAAACAAAACACUCAGAAACACGAAGUGUGUGAGGCGACUAUGGCGAAGCAUUACGAGUUAGAUUGCGUUGCUUCACUUUUUACUAAACUGAAAAUAAUUUAAAACUUCGACCACAUAACAAUUUCGAUAAAAGAUUAAAGGUAAAGAAUUUCCUAACACAGAAUUUUUCAUAUUCUAUCUAUAAGGCCCAAAGCGUAAUAUCCAAACAAGUUUAACAUAAAUCAAAAGCUCCCCAAACACCAGUUUAGCAACAUUACACUUUUAGUACAGAUAUUGUCCGAAAUCUAUCCAUGGGAAAACUUAGCAACUUUCUCGCAUAUGUAUGUAUAAAUGUACCUAUGUACAUACAUAAUAUCACAUCUAUCACACUUACUCAAACGUGCAUACAUAUGUAUGUACACUCGAAUUGUGUAGCAUACCUUUCGAGAACAUGCUAAAUGGCAUUUUUAUGCAUUUUCAAUACCAGACACAGCAUUAAAAAAGCCUUACUAACCAUUUAUAUUUGUAUUUGAAGAAUAAUUCAUUAUUUGGAACGCGCUCGCUUCGACCAACUGAUGCGUUCACAAACGCAUAGCAAUUUGGCACAUGGACCAUCACACCCAAGCACACACGUGCUUAUAAUCCAUUGGUUGUUGGUACACCGUUUUAUCCCCACAGGACAUUAGAAAACAAGAAAAAUACGAUAUACAAAGAAGAAAAUGGGCAAGUGGAAAACUUUUUGUCACUCGGGGGUUUCUACGAUACAACUGUACAUAAAUGUCCCAUGAAAAAAUAUAGUAUGUGGCAACUAAAUCGCCAUUAUACGAGUAACUGCGACUGCGGUUAGUCCGAAAUCUUUCAGAGAAAAGCUGUUGAGUUUCGUCUUGAAUAUGAAAUGGCUUGGAAAAGAAAAAUUGUGUCCAAGCCACCUCGCAAAUUAUUUUCAAUAUACAUAUAUACGUAUGUACAUAUGUGCAAACACACAUACCUACGUACGUGCAUACCCACUUUGCAUUCGUUAUUUCUCAGCAUUUCGAGUGUACGAAUUAUCCUAUUAAGAAAAUAUCUGAUAAGCAACACGUUAGAGAAAAGUGAAAUGAGUUACUGCCAGCCCCUUCAAAUAGAGGAUAGCAAUGAAGACUCAAUAAAUUUGUCGAAAGAUCAAUUUGAUUUUGAACUGUAGACACGACUUGAUUCGCCGAGGCAACAAAUCGUGGCAAGAUCAAAUAUAAAUAAAAUGUAAAUAGCUUUGUCCUCUUUAAAGAGAUAUUCACACAUCCUCUUGGCGUAUUUAGCCAAAUUGAACUUUGUUUUCUUUUCACCCGUAAUUUUUGAGAAGAGAUCAGAGCUCCAACAUAACAAACAUUUAGCCGAAGACGCUUACUACGGACGGCCGUCCUUUCCUAGUUUGCUAGUGAUUACGGCAUAUCAAAAACUAAUAUUAUACAUGAGGGUUUUCGAAACCCUACACAGCAGACCUAAAGAGUGCUAUGUCUUAUAAAAUCCAUCAGCCGUUCGGAAACGACUUGAGACAAGCUUCACACUUUAGUAAACCUUAAGAUUGAUACUCAUUUUGAAGGGAAGAAAAUCGCUUGGUUGCACAAAGAAACUUUUCAUCAAACUCGGUGCAAUUUUCAAAUAGUUUCAAUUUUCAUUGCAAACAACUUUUUUUACAUGCAUGCUUAAUACACAUGCACACACAUACAUAUGU
rnacentral:lncRNA from 1 species